GGGGAUGCCGGGUUUCGACAGAAGUCCGAGGUCCGCUGCUGCAGGUCGAGCACGCCGUCACGCUCGAAAAAAAGGCGGCAAACCAAGUAACUGGCGAGCAAGAAGCGCUCCCACUCGCGGCCUAAGCGCCGUGACGUCUGCCCGGCUCGUGCCUAGCGGGCCGGACCAGGCGCCAACACUCUAGGCUGCGCCGGCAGAGGCGUCCGCAUAUGCCGGCUAAGACACGCGGACUGGUCGGGUUGCCCGCGGCCGAACGGCGGGCAAGCCGGCGAGAACCAUAGCGAUCGGCUAUGCCUGUAGACGCGGCGGGGUGACGGCCUCUGGACGGGGCGUUCGACUCGCCCCCAUCUCCACCA
rnacentral:tmRNA from 1 species